rnacentral:rRNA from 1 species
AGGAAAAGAAACCAACAGGGAUUGCCUCAGUAACGGCGAGUGAAGCGGCAAAAGCUCAAAUUUGAAAUCUAGCACCUUCGGUGUUCGAGUUGUAAUUUGAAGAUGGUAACCUUGGGUUUGGCUCUUGUCUAUGUUCCUUGGAACAGGACGUCAUAGAGGGUGAGAAUCCCGUCUGAUGAGAUGCCCAUUCCUAUGUAAGGUGCUAUCGAAGAGUCGAGUUGUUUGGGAAUGCAGCUCUAAGUGGGUGGUAAAUUCCAUCUAAAGCUAAAUAUUGGCGAGAGACCGAUAGCGAACAAGUACAGUGAUGGAAAGAUGAAAAGAACUUUGAAAAGAGAGUGAAAAAGUACGUGAAAUUGUUGAAAGGGAAGGGCAUUAGAUCAGACUUGGUGUUUUACGAUUAUCUUCUCUUCUUGAGUUGUGCACUCGUAUUUCACUGGGCCAGCAUCGAUUCGGAUGGCAAGAUAAUGGCAGUUGAAUGUGGCUUCACUUCGGUGGAGUGUUAUAGCUUCUGCUGAUAUUGCCUGUCUGGAUCGAGGGCUGCGUCUUUUGACUAGGAUGCUGGCGUAAUGAUCUAAUGCCGCCCGUCUUGAAACACGGACCAAGGAGUCUAACGUCUAUGCGAGUGUUUGGGUGUAAAACCCGUACGCGUAAUGAAAGUGAACGUAGGUGAGAGCUCUUUUUUGAGUGCAUCAUCGACCGAUCCUGAUGUUUUCGGAUGGAUUUGAGUAAGAGCAUAGCUGUUGGGACCCGAAAGAUGGUGAACUAUGCCUGAAUAGGGUGAAGCCAGAGGAAACUCUGGUGGAGGCUCGUAGCGGUUCUGACGUGCAAAUCGAUCGUCGAAUUUGGGUAUAGGGCGAAAGACUAA